rnacentral:tRNA from 1 species
GAAAAAAUGGCUGAGUGGUUAAAAGCGAUAAUUUGCUAAAUUUUUACGUAAUUUUAAUAGGUUUACGUCAUAGGUUCGAAUCCUAUUUUUUUCG